rnacentral:rRNA from 1 species
GAGUUUGAUCGUGGCUCAGAUUGAACGCUGGCGGCAUGCCUUACACAUGCAAGUCGAACGGCAGCAUGAUCUAGCUUGCUAGAUUGAUGGCGAGUGGCGAACGGGUGAGUAAUACAUCGGAACGUGCCCUGUAGUGGGGAUAGCUAGUCGAAAGAUUAGCUAAUACCGCAUACGACCUGAGGGUGAAAGUGGGGGACCGCAAGGCCUCAUGCUAUAGGAGCGGCCGAUGUCUGAUUAGCUAGUUGGUGGGGUAAAGGCCCACCAAGGCGACGAUCAGUAGCUGGUCUGAGAGGACGAUCAGCCACACUGGGACUGAGACACGGCCCAGACUCCUACGGGGGGCAGCAGUGGGGAAUUUUGGACAAUGGGCGAAAGCCUGAUCCAGCAAUGCCGCGUGUGUGAAGAAGGCCUCGG